rnacentral:lncRNA from 1 species
UUCUAGAUAACUUGAAGUUAAUUUAAUUAAAAUAUGCCAACUAUGUGCGUAACCGUGGCUGUCUCUUUCGUGAGUUCCUUCUCCGAUCGAGGACACGGUGGGGUUAUGUCUCACGUAGGUAGGUGUUCAGGAUCAUUCAUUUGAUCAUCAGUAGUUCACGUCCGCUAUGCGUAGAUCUUCCCCCUCUUAUUUCUUGUACUCGUAAAUUAGCCACCUCAUAUAUGCUUAGUCGCUGCUGCAA